CCAGAUAAAUGACUUAUCGCUUUAAUUAAUUUUAAAGAGGAAAGUCCGGGCUCUACAAAGACACGGUGCCAGUUAACAGCUGGCGGGGGAAACCCUAGGGAUAGUGCCACAGAAAAUAUACCGCCUUAUCAAGGCAAGGGUGAAAAGGUGUGGUAAGAGCACACCGGCUAGUUUGGCAACAGACAGCGCAUGGAAAACCCCACCGAGGGCAAGACUUAGUAGAGAUGACAUUGUUAGAAAUAACUAAAAAGCAGUCUUUGGCUAGUCAUCAGGGUUAGUUGCUUGAGCCUUAAAGUGAUUUAAGGUCUAGAUAAAUGAUAAGUUUAAAUGACAGAACCCGGCUUAUAGUUUAUCUGGCAUU
rnacentral:RNase_P_RNA from 1 species